AAGGUAUGAAAGAAUGGCUUUAAUUUAAAAUUUUUUUCUUCUAGUGGCAGUUUUCUCUAUACACAGUGUCCAAACACAUAAUUACAUUCUCAGACUUUCAGAAUCCUCUGACACUGGGUUGGAAGCAGAUGUUCGGCCGUGCCUCCUCCCCAUCCCAUUGUUUAGCUUUCCUGCAGUUUAUUCCGGGCGUGAACUCGGUGGUGUUUAGUAAGGGCGGAGCUCCGGCUGAAGUUUCUCCCACACUCCUUGCAAGCAUAGGGUUUCUCUCCAGUGUGAGUUCUCUGAUGGUCGUGCAAAUUGGUCUUCUUUCUAAAGGCCCGCCCACACUCAUUACACUCAUAGGGUUUCUCUCCGGUAUGCGUCCUUUCGUGCUGAAUCAGGGAUGAGCUUUGACUGAAGGCUUUCCCGCAGUCAAUGCACUCAUAGGGUUUCUCGCCAGUGUGGGUCCUCUCGUGUUGCGUGAGUGACGAGAGUCGACUGAAGGCUUCCCCACACUCAUUACAUUCAUAGGGUUUCUCUCCAGUGUGAAUUCGAUGAUGCUCUAUAAAACUUGUACUCCUUUUAAAAGCUUUCCCACAUACGUUGCACUGAUAGGGUUUCUCUCGGGGAUGAGACAGGGACUGCUGACCAAGAAGGGUCUGUUCAGAGCCGUAGGAAUUCUCCCCAGCGUGGAGCCUCUGGUGCUCAGAGAAGUCUGUAAUGUGACCGAAGUCUUUCCCACAGUCAUUACAAUGGUACGACUUUACUUCAGUAAGCAGGCCUUCACCUUGAGGAAGAGGAGUGUUAGGCACAAAAGCCAGGCUGAAGUUGUUACUUUGGUAAGGUUUGCUUCUUUUAUGAAUCCUCAUAUGUUUAUAAAGGGAUGGGCUCUGACCAAAUGCCCUCCCACAAAUGCUGCACUCGAAAGGCUUCUCUCCUGUAUGGGUCCUCUCAUGCUGGACAAGGGAAGAACACCUGCUAAAGGCCUUCCCACAUUCCUUACACUGGAAGGGUUUCUCCCCACUGUGGGUCACCUCAUGUUGCGUGAGGGACGUGCUGUGCCUGAAUGACCUCCCACAGAGAUUGCAGCGAUAGGGCUUCUCUCCCGUGUGGAUUCUCUGGUGUUGAACAAGAGAUGAACUGCGCUGGAAGGCUUUCCCACAGAGGCUACACUGAUAGGGCUUCUCUCCUGUAUGUGCGUUUUCAUGCUGACCAAGGGACGAGCUGUGCCUGAAGGCCUUUCCACACACAUUACACUCAAAGGGUUUUUCCCCAGUGUGAAUUCUCUGGUGCUCCGUGAGCUGUGUUCUCCAGAGGAAGGUUUUCCCACAGUCCGCACACUCAUGGUGUUUCCUUCCAGACUGAGCUCCUUGGUCUGUACCAUUGGAGUAAGGAUCGCCUUUAUGAAUCUUCUCGUGUUUAUUAAGUGAUGAUCUAUGAAUAAAUGAUUUCCUACAUUUAUCACACUUAUAAGGCUUCUUUUUAGCAAGGAUAUUACUCUGAGUAACUAGUUCUGAAUUGUGUUCCAAAUUAUUUCCAAAUGUUUUACAGUCACUGGGCCUUAUACUUGAAGAAAUGUCCAGUUGUGGAACCAAGUCUGUGCUCAAACUAGAGUCUUCACCAACUUUGUUUUGCUCAAUUUUUUUCUCUAGAGUGGUUAUUUUCUUCUGGGAAGAUGCCUCUGGCCCCAGAUGUCUUCUCCCACUUUCCUGAUGCCCCUGGAUAGCGACAUUCCAGAUAUCACCUAUUGUGGUGUGUGAUAAAACAUUUGUUCUGAGGAAUACUUCAGAUACGCCCUGCUGAGGACUCCGUGAGGACUCAGGCCUGGUCUUCCAGUCUAAAAGAAAUAUAAAGUGCAAAAGUUCCCACAUUUCUUGCAGCUCAAACAAAAUGCUAGAGUAGGGAUAAGAAAAUGAGAUAGAAAUCAUGCAUGGCUGUAUUUUUAAAUCAGUCCCUUAGAGAAAGAUGCCUGCAGAAAAGAAAGAGUGAAGUACCAGCGAAUAUUACAAAUCCAGAGUGCCUGUCACAUCCAGAGAGUGAGGAAAGCCCAUGUAAGUGGGCGAGUGUGAUAGGAAACAGAAGCACAGAGGAGCCUAAGUGUGCGAGUACUGAUUUUACAUAACAAAAACCUGCCUGGCUAAUACAUCCAUUUUAUAAUUCCUUUACAGUAACCUAUUAGAUAGCAGGCUUCUAAAUACUGCAGAAAAAAAAUCUCCAGCUAAGGACCUUCUGAAAAGAUUCUCUGACAUAUGGGGAGGCCACACACCAUGCUAAAAACUGAGAAAAAGUAAUGAUUCGGAAAGCAAGUUAUUUUUGGUCUUAAAACUAGGAGAAGUUUCAGUUUGUGUGAGCUCUGAUUCUAUAGCGACCAUCUCUCUUCUAUCAUCUGUAAUUUUAAAAUAACAUUUAUUGCCUAGCAAGCCUUUAAGCUCAACAUCUGGGACGAGAGCAGAGUUUGAGGUCGGCCUGGUCCACAUAGAAAGUUCCAAUAAAACUCAUUUAUAUUCUGUACACACACACACACACACACACACACACACACACACACACACACUCGCAUCCAAGCAUCAGAGCACAUGUGCAGAGGUCUGACAAAAGUUGAAGGAGUAAAUUCUCUCCUAUCAUGUGACACUCAUCUCCUUCUACCAUGUGACACUCAUCUCCUUCUACCAUGUGACACUUAUCUCCUUCUACCAUGUGACACUCAGGGACCAAACCCAGGCCGUCAGAUUUGGCAACAAGCGUCUUACCUGCUGAGCCAUCUCACUGGCCUAUUUAGUAUUUGGAACAGGGCUCUCACUGAACCUGAGAGCUCACCGAUUCAGCCACACCGGCCAGCCAAUGAGUUCCAGGAAUCCAUCUGUCUCUCCCUUCCUGCGUCCUACCAGUGCCGGGGUUACAGAUCUCUAGUGUUCAUGGGUGUUGGGGAUCUAAACCAAGAUUCUCAUGUUUGAAAGCAGGCACUUUUCUAACUUAGCUGUCUUCCCAGUCCCCAAACCUUUUUCUCUUUCUUUUUAAAGUGCUCUUAAAAUACCUUUUUAAAAGUUUCAUUUUAUUUUAUGAGUGUUUUGUCUGCAGGCUUAUAUAUGCACCAUGUGUGCCUGGUACCCAUUGAGGUCAGAAGAGGACACUGGAUCUCCUACAGCUGGACUUACAGAGUUGUGAGACACCAUGUUGAUGCUGGGAAUUGAAUCUGAGUCUUCUGCAAGAGCAAAUCUCUAAUUGCUGAGCCAUCUCUCUAGUCCCCCUUCCCCAUCACCUCACUUUACAAAGAAUUUAUUUUGGUCAAUAGAUAUAUCCCCUAGGUCUGUUUUUUACCAUAGAAUAAUAAUACUAGAUAACAUUAAUAUUUAGGUUCUAAGAAUAGUAAUUUUUAGGACUUAAGAGUAUAGACUCAGUGUUUAGAGGCACUUGUUGCUUUUGUAGAAUACCAUAUUUGAUUCCCAGCAUCCACAUGGAAUCUCAUAACCAUCUGUGACUUUAGUCCCAGGAAAUCCAAUGCCCUCUUCCGAGCUCUGUGGGUACCAGGUAUGCACACAGUACACAUAUAUACAUGCAGGCAAGACAUUCUUAUACACACACACACACACACACACACACACACACACACGUAAAAUAAAUAGAUCUAAAAAAAAGAAUGUUUAUCUUAACAAACUAAGGGAAACACCAGGCACCUUUGCUUAUACCUAUUACCCUAGUACCUGGGAAACUGAGGCAGAAGAGAUCACGAGUUUGAGGCCAAUCUGGAUACAUGUAGGGAGAUGCUCUCUCAAAAAUGAAAAUACUGGGGAGUGUGGGUUGGAAGGGCUAAUGCACUUGUCAAAACCAACAGGGUUGAACAUUUUAGUGUAUACAACAUUUACUUAAAAAAUAAACCCUAUAGGGCUGCCAAUAGAACAAGCUAGUUGAAAGUCUGUCUAGCACUCCCAGGGUCCUGGCUUUGAUCACUGCUACCAAAUAAACAGGGUGUGACGGGGCAUCCCCCACAUUCCCAAAACUCAGGUGGAGGAGGCAGAAGGAUCAGAAGUUCAAAUCAGGGAAGAAAAACCUAAGGCUGGGAAGGUGGCCCAGGGGUCAAGAUUACUUGCUAUUCAACGGAGAGUACAUGAAUUGGAUCUUGUCACUCACUCUCACUUAUUGAGAGCCCCACACAAUAACUGUAAUUUAAGCUCCAAGGGCUGCAAUGGGCUUUUUCUUCUAUCCUUCACACACACACACACACACACACACACACACACACACACACACACACACACCCCACACAAAUAAAAUAGAUCUCACAAACUCAAACAACAAAAAUCAAGCAUGUCCCUCCAAAAACCAAAACCAACCAACCAACCAACCAACCAAACACAACCAACCAACCAACCAAACAAAAGAACCAAAAAACCAAAAAAACCCAAAACUAUAAAAAUAAAUUGGGAGGCUAAAGAGGUGAGAUGUGGCUCAGCAGUUAAGAACACUGGCUGCUCUUCCAGAGGACCGAGGUUUGAUUCUCAGCACUGACUUGGAGGCUCCCAACCGUUAACUCCAGUCCCUCUGAGGGCUGCACAUAUGUGGUACACACCUACGUGCAGACAAAACACCCAUAUCCAUGAGAACAAGUGAGCAGAGCUUGAGAGGUGGCUCAGUGGUUAAGAGCACGCACUGCUCUUGUGAAGGACCCAAGUUCAGUUCCCAGCACCCACACUAGGGAGCUAACAACUGACUGUGACACUAACUCCAGAGGAUCCAAUGCCCUCUCUGCCUUUGGUGGCUCGGGAACACAGGAACAUAUACUUCCUACUCUUGCUUAUAUAUACAUGCCCUGAGAUUUAAGGAAUAAUUCAUAGGUUAAUUAAUUAAAAAGCUGAACCCUGGACUCAGGAUAUAGUUUGUUGAUACAGAACUUCUUUUUUUUUAAGAACUUGGGAAAAGCCCAGGAUUUUCUUUUCAGUAUUUCAAAGGAAAACAAAACAAAGAACUCUAACUAACGAGACUCAUGCCUAUGUUUUCAACUCCCUUAAGAACGCAUUAAAAAGGUGGUUCUUAUGUGGGUAGAUGAAGAGGCAUGAGGCAAAGCAAGUAUCACAGCCAAAGUCUGUGAUCACCUAGGUGGCAGCUCUAUGAUAACUACUGUACAACUUUCCGAUGUCUUCCAUAUAUUUGAGAUUCUUAUAACAAAAUGUUGGGAGAGGAAGCAACACUUAAAGAAGUCCAAUACUCAACCUUCUAAGUUUGCAACAAGAAUCAAUCCUAAACUCAUAGUGUCAGCCAUACACAAUAGCACUCACUUGUAAUCUCAGCACUUGAGAGUGUGUGUGUGGGGGGGGAUGGGGCAGAGAGGGGGGUAGUUUGAAGCCAGGCUGGGCCACACAGCCACACGCUUUCUAACAACUAAAACAAGAAGCAAAACUCCUAAGGGCAGAGAAUGCCACAUUUUCUUCUCAGACUUCCUCUCAGUGGAGCUUUAAUAAAGGGUUAGUUUUGUUUCUUUUUCCAUUGCUAAAGGCCUAAAACAGACCUCUCCCCGAAGUGUGUACUGCAUAGAUUUACUGUGGAGUGUACGUUUACCAAACACAAUGCACUCAGGCUGGUCAGAAGCCUCAUCACAAACUAAGCUCGCUCUGUGAGUUAAAAAUGAAAACACAGUCUCUGAAAAGUUGGCUUUGUCAAAAUUCUAACAUGCUUCUUUUUCAAUAGUGACGGCAGUGUUGACUCCUGGGGACUGUGUGCUUGGGACACGGUGUUGUGAGGCUCGGACUAAGGUUCACCUUACACCAGCCUCGCCCUGUGUUUUGUCUUCACUUUCUUUAGAGACCAGCCAGGUCUCACUAUUGUAGCGGAGGCUGGCCUCGAGCUCACAGAGAGCCACCUGCCUCUGCCUUCUGAAUGCUGGCAUUAAAGGGUUAACCAAUCUCUGAUGACAGUAUAAAGCUGGGUGCGGUAUUACAUGCCUGUAAUUCAGCACUUGUCUAUGUUUUCCCCAUAAGACUUAUUUCCAGCAGGAACACCUGACUGGAGAAGAGAGACAGCCCCAGGAAUGGCUUCGGCUUCCUUUUCAGGUCAGACAGCUCCCACGCCUCUAGUUAGAAGAAGUCUCUCUCCAUAAGCUGUAGCCCUGUCUACACUGAUUUCUAGGAGCAGAAUUCUGAACUCAUUACCUGGACAGAAAGGUCUUUGGAUUUCUUUCUCUGAUAUCCAUGGCUCUUCUCCUUGCUCCAAUUUGAAGAUCACCUCUGGCUUGGAGACUUGAUACCCUGCUCAUCAGUGAGGUUGUAGUUCUCCA
ensembl:lincRNA Gm26786 predicted gene, 26786